ensembl:lncRNA
UUUAGUAUGGUCAGGGCGUGAGUUGGGGUGGGCAGUCUAUGUGUGUUUUUCUAUGUUGGGGUUUUGAGUUCGGCCUAGUAUGGUUCUCAAUUAGAGGCAGCUGUCAAUUGUUGUCCCUGAUUGAGAAUCAUACUUAGGUAGCCUGGGUUUCACUUUUGGUUUGUGGGUGUUUGCUUCCUGUGUCAGUGCCACACGGGACUGUUUCGUUUCUAUCCACUUUGUUAUUUUGUAUUCUGUCGUGUUCAGUUUGUGGACACUUCUCACGCUGCGUAUUGGUCCGAUCCUUGCUACUCCUCUUCAGAUGAAGAGGAGGAAUGCCAUUACAUUUACUGGCACAUAUCUGACCUUGGAUGGACAAUAAAGUUCUAUUUAGUUCUAUUAUUUUCUAUUCUAUUGCUGCGAACCUAGGUUUGAUUUAUCAUAUCAUUUUGAUGGUCUGCCCUGCACUUUACAAAGCGUGGGGUGUGACUCCUUCCUGGGAGGGGCCAGGCUAGGUUGGUGCAGAUGGUAGUCCAGAGGGUUUACGUUACCCCUGGCAGAUCCCGCUCCAUAAAGGCAAAAGCAGCUGCUUCUCAAUAUCUUGCACACUAAUGAGAUGCUAUUGAGCCCACACUACUACACUGUCUGAGCCAAGGACAAUAUGCUUUCUGUGUGCGCUGGAAGUCGGGAAACAAGUUCAGGGAGUGAAUAAUUUAAUCAAUAAAUGAAACAUAAUACAAAGGAAGAAACACAAACAACGCAAAGACAUGAAACAGAAACAGUGACGCCUGGGGAAGGAACCAAAGGGAGUGACAUAUAAAGGGCAGGUAAUCAAGGAGGUGAUGGAGUCCAGGAAAAUACCACGGGCACUAUCUGAUGUGUAGAGACAUUUCACUGCAGCUAAUGUAGAAGGAAAAGCUGUGUACAUUUGCAAAUACUGUGCCAAAUAAUAUGUGAAGAAUGCAACAAAGAUGCAGAAUCAUCUGGCCAAGUGCAUAAAGUUCCCUCAGCGCUCACAACAAGCAACCUCUGACAAAUGUCCCUCUACUUCUAUUCGAGGUGAAAAUGAUGAAUCAGACACCUUAUCGAUAGCAACAGCUCAUGGUUCUACUGGAAUCAGACAUUUUUUUGACUCAAUGGAGGAACGUAUUCAGAGAAAUGCUGAUGAAUGUCUUGCUCGAGCUGUGUAUGCAACUGGUUCACCUUUGAUGCUCACAUGCAAUGUGUAUUGGAAGAAAUAUCUGAAUGUUCUUUGCCCUGUAUACACCCCUCCAACCAGACAUGGUUUAUCUACUAAUUUCCUGGAUGCAGAGUUCAUCAGAAUUCAAGCAAAAUAGAGAAAGCAGACUGUAUUGCAAUCAUCUCUGAUGGGUGGUCGAAUGUUCAUGGGCAAGGAAUAAUUAAGUACAUCAUCUCCACCCCUCAACUAGUAUUCUACAAUAGCACGGACACAAGGGACAACAUACACACCAGUCUCUACAUUGCAGAUGAGCUGAAGGCAGUUAUCAAUGACCUUGGACCACAGAAGAUAUUUGCACUGGUGACAGACAAUGCUGCGAACAUGAAGGCUGCUUGGUCUAAAGUGGAGGAGUCCUACUCUCACAUCACUCCCAUUGGCUGUGCUGCUCAUGCGUUGAAUCUGCUCCUCGAGGACAUCAUGGCACUGAUAACAAUGGAUACACUCUAAACUCUACAAGAGAGCCAAGGAAAUGGUUAGGUAUGUGAAGUGUCAUCAAGUUACAGCAGCAAUCUACCUCACCAAGCAAAGUGAGAAGAAUAAGAGCACCACAUUGAAGCUGCCCAGCAACAACUGUUGGGGUGUUGUUGUCAUCAUGUUUGACAGUCUCCUGGAGGGGAAGGAGUCUCUCUAAGAAAUGUCAAUAUCACAGUCUGCUGAUAUUGACAGCCCCAUCAAGAGGAUCCUCCAGGAUGAUGUAUUUUGGGAGAGCGUGUUAAGCAGCCUGAAACACCUGAAACCUAUACUGCCCUACUAAACAUUAACACAUUUUUUGCCUUUUUGCUUGGUAGGGCAGUAUAGCAGUAGCCCUUGCACGGAUUGAGGGAGACAAUGCCAUCCUGUCUGAUGUUCAGACUCUGCUUGCAGAUGUAAGAGAAGAAAUCCGUACUGCCCUGCCAUCUUCACUGUUGCUCCAAGCAGAGGAAACUGCAGUUCUGAAGUACAUCAAAAAGCGUGAAGACUUCUGUCUGAAGCCCACACACGCCGCAGCGUACAUGUUGGACCCCAAGUAUGCUGGCAAGAGCACCCUGUCUGGUUCAACAAGGCCUAUGGUGUCAUCAUUACCAUGUCUUGCCACCUUGGCCUGGAUGAGGGCAAGGUUCUUGGCAGUCUGGCGAAGUACACUUCCAAGCAAGGGCUUUGGGAUGGAGAUGCAAUAUGGUAGUCGUGCCAACAUAUCUCAUCAGCCACCUGGUGGAAGGGACUUUGUGGAUCUGAGGCUUUCCCCUGUUUUUCCCCUGUUGCUUCCAUCAUCUUCCAAAUCCCACAAACAUCAGCUGUUUCAGAGCGCAACUGGGCCUUGUUUGGGAACACACAGACCAAAGCACGCAACAGGACGACCAAUACAAGGGUUGAAAAAUUGGUGGCCAUCCGGGCAAAUUUUGGGCUUUUUUUAGCCUGACAACGAGCCAUCCUCAAUAAGGUUGGAAAGUGGCAGAGAAGAUGAGGCCUCAGAGUCUGAUAUUCAAGAGGUGGACAUUGAGGAGGUCCAGGGAGAAGACAUGGAAGCCUGAGAGUAAGACAACCAAAGCUUUAGUUUAUAGACUAUCAUUUUACAGAUGUACUGUAUGUUUAAUGCUAUGGAUCAUUGGGGAUCAUUUAGUAUUCCCUUUCUUUUGUUGUUCAGUGAAAUCCUCCCAUGUGAAGAGUCAACUCAUUUAAUUAAAUUUAAAUUUGUAACUAAAUAGUUUUUUACAUUUAUAUUGGAAGGAUUUAAUCAUUUAUGAUAAGGUAAAAGGUUUAUGUUUCUGUCUCCAUAUGAUAUGGUAAAUACAUCCAAUGGAAAAAAACAUCUACAUUUAAAUGGUAUGAAUAUUAAUUUGCAUAUAUUCCCGUUAAUUCCCAUAUAUUCCCGUUAAUUCCUACGGAAAGUUUCCAACCUCUGAAUAUUCCUCAAAAUGUGCAACCAUACCCUCAAUGAUUAUUUUCUGCAGCAAGUUUCUCUGCCUCUUCUCUGACAUUUGCCUUGGCUCUCCUUGGUGGCAACAUGUGCCCCAGUUAAGUUUCUAUCUUUUGUUAACUGAACAGACCCCCUCCACAGAGGGCUCUCUCUGUCUCCACUCUCCAGCCAUAUGGCAUUGCUUGACAAAGGACACAAACAUUUCUAAUUUAAUCCAGCCCUGCUGUGCUGUGAGUCGUGCUCCACCAGGCCAAUUCUCUGGAACUAAAGACAGCAUGCUGUGUUGUGGAGCUCUAGGGAGGGUCCCGUUGGGGCCUGGCUGGGCUGCAGCAUCCCAGAGAUGAGGGAGGGGAUGCCCAGUAUUGCCCACUCUAACCUUUGAUUAAAUGGCAGCCUACAUGAAACCAAUUUCCAUUUAUUGAUUUUUAUAAAGUUUUAUUGUUAAUGUUUUAUAUAUAUUUUUUCACACCAAAUACAAACAAACAGCAACUUACAGACGCACACACAUGACUACUUCUCAUCUGCCCAGACCCGCAGGCUCACACCCACAUCCCUAGUGCCUGCAUUAUUGUUUGCCACAUGGUCUGAAACCGCACCAUUUUGUUUCUCUUCGUUGUCCAAGCACUUUCCAUAUUUAAAUAAUAAAUAAUUUGAUUUUUCCAUUGUGUUAAUGAAUUAUUUGAUUUCCACAUUUUAUUACGCUUUUUUUCAAGAUGAGUGAUGAGAAGCGAAUCGCCUAACACAUCGGCUAUCUCAUUACACCCCCAUAUGACCAUUUAAUUCUGUUGUUCAGAGAGCAAUGGCUAUUUGCUUUAGGGGAUAGCUUUUUUAUUUUUUUUAUUUUAGGCAGGCUUGACAGUUGCCUGAAUAUGGACCCUGGACUGGAGCUCAAAAUGGAAGGGAUGGUCGUUAUAUAUAUAUAUAUAUA